UACGUAGGGCGCAAGCGUUGUCCGGAAUUAUUGGGCGUAAAGAGCUCGUAGGCGGUCUGUCGCGUCGGAUGUGAAAGCCCGGGGCUUAACCCCGGGUCUGCAUUCGAUACGGGCAGACUAGAGUGUGGUAGGGGAGAUCGGAAUUCCUGGUGUAGCGGUGAAAUGCGCAGAUAUCAGGAGGAACACCGGUGGCGAAGGCGGAUCUCCGGGCCAUUACUGACGCUGAGGAGCGAAAGCGUGGGGAGCGAACAGG
rnacentral:rRNA from 1 species